UGAGCAGCGGCUUCGGAGCGCGGCCCGGCCGGGGGCGCGCCUCGAGCGCCGGCAGCUUGGCCACCAUCCAUAUGAUGGAGCAAUGUAGCCAAGCUGUGGGGUGACCAAGGCUUGCAUCACUGCCCUGACCCAGAUUGCAUCUGCAGUCAUCUGGAACUGACUACACGCCUGAACUGAUGAAAGAGGCUGUGGAAAUUCAGAUCUCUGGGGCCUUGCAAGAUGUUUGUGCCAUAUCCACCUGUCCUCUGGAAGACAAAAGAGUGAGGAUCAGCAGUGUGUAAUUUAUUCUGCAUAAACUGAACAGAUGAGAACUGCCUUGACAGCUACUAGAAGAAAAUAGUGUGAUAUGACCACAGAAAGCACAUGUUCUAUCUAACAAUUUCACUAUUGAUCCCAACGAGGAGUGGCACUCAACCUCCUUCUGAUUACCUCUGUUCUUUUCUUUUGCUCUAACAGUAUAUUUUCUUUCCAACACACAAGUGUUUAUGCAAAAAUACCAAGAUCCUUUAUGCAGAUUAAAAUAGGUUUAAAAAUUAAGGAAAGGCUGGUAUGGAACAAGAGAAAAAUUAUCCCAGCAUUUUGCAUUUUUUUGUAAUCCAAGUCCUGUCUUUGGAGGGUGUUAUAACAACUACACGCUUGGUGAGGCCUAAGAGGAUUUUCCUUGUGAAAUGACUGAAGGAGUUAGCCCUAGAAUAUCACCCUGCUCUAAAAGAGGUGUUCAGUAAGAAAUAGGUGGGCUCUCUUGGGAAAAAUGCAGAAGAAAGCUUGGUGAGAGCUGGAUCCUCUGCAGUGUCACCUCUCAUGAGUGAUUGACAAAAGAAAAAAAAAAAACAAUAGGUGAACUAAUUCACUGUGGGGAUGGAAGGAUGGAUGCUUCCUGUUGUGGAAUAGGACGAAAUCCUGUGACAUGUUCUCUCCUAUUAGGUCUGAUACCAAUGCUUAUGAUAAAGAUUAAUUUCUAAAAAACAACUGUAAACCUAUAGGUCAGCCAAUAAGACACUGACUUGACUAAUUUUUCAUUGCAAAGAGUAUGAUAGUUUCAUGUCUUUAAUUAACAUCAGUGCAGACAGUGUGUUGUUGAAUCCAAUUAAAUUUGAAUCCUACUAUGAAUUUGUUUUCCACAAGUAGAUUAUGAACAGAAGCCUUUGAUUUCUAUUACUUACGUAUUUUUGAGUGAAAAGCUAUUUCAUGUCAUAUAUUUAAUAACAGGAAAUGUAGCAAACAUUUAUUUUUA